rfam:Vigna angularis cultivar Jingnong 6 scaffold27_10, whole genome shotgun sequence.
GCGGCUUCGACAUGCAACUCAUAAAAUUGGAAGGAUACAGAAAAGAUUAGUAUGGCCACUACGCAAGGAUGACACGCACAAAUCAAGAAAUAGUUUAAAUUUUU